CACGGCAGGCGGGGGGCUGGCGGUCCCCUGUAUCCGAAACCCGCCAUACGCGGAGCCGAAGGCCACCAUGAGGCCCACAAGGUCAGUGUUAGGAGCGUUACGCGGUGUUGAAGGCUGGGUCCCACGCAGCGACCACCCAUGAACCUGGUCAGGCCCGGAAGGGAGCAGCCAUAAGUGGGAAUGGUCGGGUGCCGUGGGGUAGCCCGGCUGGAGCCAAACGGACGCCACCGCACUGGUCUUGUGUGGUCGAAGGUGGUGCCGUG
rnacentral:SRP_RNA from 1 species